AGCUGACUGAAGUACACAAUCUUAAUACCAAGGUUCUUCAAAAUAUUGAAAUGGCACAGGAAAGACAGCAAAGGACUUUUGGAGACCGGAAACGCAAAUUUACCCGUGUCGCAACUGUUGAGGCUGGGGAUGAAUGUCUGAUUUCAGGGGCUUCAAAAAGGCCACGUACAGGGGACACAUUGACCAGCCAGCACAGAGGACCUUACAAGAUUGGAAACAUUACAAAAAAGGGAGUGGCCACUGUGCUGAAGGGAUCAACAACCAUGAAGGUCAAUGUGUCCAGACUGAGGCCCUAUUAUAGGUUAACAAAUGAGCAACUAUCUGAAGGGCAGCUCCUCAACGACCACGAAUACUCC